rnacentral:rRNA from 1 species
UGAGGGGUACUGCCUGCCCAGUGAAUUAUUUUAAACGGCCGCGGUAUCCUGACCGUGCGAAGGUAGCACAAUCACUAGCCCUCUAAAUAAGGGCCGGUAUGAAUGGCAACACGAAGGCCUAACUGUCUCCUUUCUUUCCAAUUAAACUUCUCUGGCCGUGCAAAAGCGGCCAUAAAAGCGCUAGACGAGAAGACCCUAUCGAGCUUAAGGGAUAAAAGAUCGACUGAAAACUAAGCCAGCUGAAACCCAAGGCCCGCCAAUUUAAAAUUCACGCGCUUAGCUUUGAUCCAACUCUUCCCAUCCCUUUGGUUGGGGCAACCACGGAGAAUACCCACCCUCCGAGCCAAACUAAUUUUAAACGACAUUACGUCCUAAGUAUAACCCUUAUGGCACUUGAUCCGGUCCUACCGAUCAACAGACAAAGUUACCGUAGGGAUAACAGCGUAAUCCCUCCUAAGAGCCCGCAUUGCCGGAGGGGUUUGCGACCUCGAUGUUGGAUCGGGGAAUCCUGAUGGUGCAGCCGCUAUUCAAGGGUUGGUCUGUUC